UUUGAGGACCGGAAGCUGUGCCCUGCUGCUUCCUCUUUUCCUGCGACAGUGAGCGAGAGACACCAUGAAGGCGUCCGGCACACUUAGGGAGUAUAAAGUCAUCGGGCGUCUGCUGCCCUCUGCGAAGAACCCGGCGCCACCUCUAUACCGGAUGAGGAUCUUCGCCCCAAACCAUGUUGUGGCCAAGUCCCGCUUCUGGUACUUCGUCUCCCAGCUGAGGAAGAUGAAGAAGGCGUCCGGAGAGACCGUCUACUGCGGCCUGGUAGAGAAAACUCCUCUGAAGGAUGAAGA